ACGAAGCCGGCUGCACCGGUGACGAGGACGGAGAUGCCGUGGGGGCGGUGGGGCUGGGCGGAGGAGCGGACGUGGGACUCCCACUGGAGGCCGCCCCAGGAGGCAGAGAAAUAGCGGGAGGAGGAGUCGACGAAGGACUGGAAGGAGAGGUAGGAAGCGGUGAGGGCAAUGAGAAAGAGGGCCCAGAGGAACAUGGUGGAGGUGGAGGCGAAGCAGCGG
rnacentral:misc_RNA from 1 species